CCUACGGGUGGCAGCAGUAGGGAAUAUUGCUCAAUGGGGGAAACCCUGAAGCAGCAACGCCGCGUGGAGGAUGAAGGUUUUCGGAUUGUAAACUCCUUUUGUUAGAGAAGAUAAUGACGGUAUCUAACGAAUAAGCACCGGCUAACUCCGUGCCAGCAGCCGCGGUAAUACGGAGGGUGCAAGCGUUACUCGGAAUCACUGGGCGUAAAGAGCGCGUAGGCGGGAUAGCAAGUCAGGUGUGAAAUCCUAUGGCUUAACCAUAGAACUGCAUUUGAAACUGUUAUUCUAGAGAAUGGGAGAGGUAGGUGGAAUUCUUGGUGUAGGGGUAAAAUCCAUAGAGAUCAAGAGGAAUACUCAUUGCGAAGGCGACCUGCUAGAACAUAACUGACGCUGAUGCGCGAAAGCGUGGGGAGCAAACAGGAUUAGAUACCCGGGUAGUC
rnacentral:rRNA from 1 species